rnacentral:rRNA from 1 species
UCGCAAUGCCCGAAAAGGGUGACGAAGCGACGCCGCGUGUGGGAAGAAGGCCUUCGGGUUGUAAACCACUGUCGGGAGUUAAGAAAUGUAAGGAUGUUAAUAGCGUCCUUACUUGACUAAGGCUCCGGAGGAAGCCACGGCUAACUCUGUGCCAGCAGCCGCGGUAAUACAGAGGUGGCAAGCGUUGUUCGGAAUUAUUGGGCGUAAAGAGCACGUAGGCGGCCUUGAAAGUCAGUUGUGAAAGCCUUCCGCUUAACGGAAGAACAGCAUCUGAUACUACAGGGCUUGAGUGCGGGAGGGGAGAGUGGAACUUCUGGUGGAGCGGUGAAAUGCGUAGAUAUCAGAAGGAACGCCGGCGGCGAAAGCGGCUCUCUGGCCCGUAACUGACGCUGAGUGUGCGAAAGCUAGGGGAUCAAACGGGAUUAGAUACCCCGGUAGUCCUAGCCGUAAACGAUGGGCACUAA